UACGUAGGGACCGAGCGUUGUCCGGAAUCAUUGGGCGUAAAGAGCGUGUAGGCGGCUUGCUAAGUCUUGCGUGAAAUCUCGGGGCUCAACCCCGAGCGGUCGUGGGAAACUGGCAGGCUAGAGUGCGGGAGAGGAGAAUGGAAUUCCUGGUGUAGCGGUGAAAUUCGUAGAUAUUCGGAAGAACACCAGUGGCGAAGGCGGCUCACUGGCCCGGUACUGACGCUGAGGUGCGAAAGCGUGGGGAGCAAACAGG
rnacentral:rRNA from 1 species